GGUUAUGGCUCAGUGGUAGAACACUUGCCUAGCAUGUAUGAGGCACUGGGUUCGAUUCUCAGCACCA
rnacentral:tRNA from 1 species